GCUCAGCUAGUUAAGUGUCCAACUCUUGAUCUCGACUCAGGUCAUGAUUUCACAGUUCGUGGGUUCGAGCCCCUCGCUGGGCU
rnacentral:tRNA from 1 species